GGCGGCAGGCCUAACACAUGCAAGUCGAGCGGAAACGAGUUAACUGAACCUUCGGGGAACGUUAACGGCGUCGAGCGGCGGACGGGUGAGUAAUGCCUGGGAAAUUGCCCUGAUGUGGGGGAGUAACCAUUGGAAACGAUGGCUAAUACCGCAUAAUAGCUUCGGCUCAAAGAGGGGGACCUUCGGGCCUCUCGCGUCAGGAUAUGCCCAGGUGGGAUUAGCUAGUUGGUGAGGUAAGGGCUCACCAAGGCGACGAUCCCUAGCUGGUCUGAGAGGAUGAUCAGCCACACUGGAACUGAGACACGGUCCAGACUCCUACGGGAGGCAGCAGUGGGGAAUAUUGCACAAUGGGCGCAAGCCUGAUGCAGCCAUGCCGCGUGUAUGAAGAAGGCCUUCGGGUUGUAAAGUACUUUCAGCAGUGAGGAAGGUGGUAGUGUUAAUAGCACUAUCAUUUGACGUUAGCUGCAGAAGAAGCACCGGCUAACUCCGUG
rnacentral:rRNA from 1 species